rnacentral:tRNA from 1 species
GGGCUAUUAGCUCAGUUGGUUAGAGCGUACCCCUGAUAAGGGUAAGGUCAGAAGUUCAAAUCUUCUAUAGCCCA